rfam:Canis lupus familiaris chromosome 12, whole genome shotgun sequence.
AGGAGGAACAGCCCCAGUGGCGGGGCAGCUCUGGAAACCUGGAUUCAGCUCCCGCAGGAACUCCGGAGCUCUCCGUCUGCAGGGCCUGGAGGCUCCGGGGCGGG